CUUAGCCCUAAACAUAAAUAGUUAUAUAAACAAAACUAUUCGCCAGAGUACUACCGGCAAUAGCUUAAAACUCAAAGGACUUGGCGGUGCUUUAUACCCUUCUA
rnacentral:rRNA from 1 species